rnacentral:rRNA from 1 species
AAAUACUCAAAAAAACAAAUCUCAGUUCAGACUGCAGGCUGCAACUCGCCUGCACGAAGUCGGAAUUGCUAGUAAUCGUAGGUCAGCAUACUACGGUGAAUACGUUCCCGGGCCUUGUACACACCGCCCGUCAAACCAUGAGAGUUGGCAACACCCGAAGUCGGUAGUCUAACCGCAAGGAGGACGCCGCCGAAGGUGGGGUUGAUGAUUAGGGUUAAGUCGUAACAAGGUAAC